AGAGUGGCUCAGCGGUAGAGCAUCGGCUUCCCAAGCCGACGGUCGCGAGUUCGAAUCUCGUCUCU
rnacentral:tRNA from 2 species